AUUGAACGCUGGCGGAAUGCUUUACACAUGCAAGUCGAACGGCAGCACGGGUGCUUGCACCUGGUGGCGAGUGGCGAACGGGUGAGUAAUAUAUCGGAACGUAUCCAAUAAUGGGGGAUAACUAGCCGAAAGGUUAGCUAAUACCGCACACGCCCUGAGGGGGAAAGCUGGGGAUCGUAAGACCUAGCGUUGAUGGAGCGGCCGAUAUCUGAUUAGCUAGUUGGUGGGGUAAGAGCCUACCAAGGCGACGAUCAGUAGCUGGUCUGAGAGGACGACCAGCCACACUGGAACGGAGACACGGUCCAGACUCCUACGGGAGGCAGCAGUGGGGAAUUUUGGACAAUGGGGGCAACCCUGAUCCAGCCAUUCCGCGUGAGUGAAGAAGGCCUUCGGGUUGUAAAGCUCUUUCGCAAGGGAAGAAAACUCGAUCUCUAAUAUAGGUUGAGGCUGACGGUACCUUGAUAAGAAGCACCGGCUAACUACGUGCCAGCCGCCGCCGUAA
rnacentral:rRNA from 1 species